rnacentral:lncRNA from 1 species
GGGUGGCUGCAUUUGCCAUCCAAUAUCCUAGUUGGAAUCGGGAGACCUUGCAUCAAGCCAGGACACAGGACCGCUGUUGGAUGCCAUGGUCUGAGCAGCAAUGUGGCCCUCAUCUGAGGUGUGUGCUGGGUCUGCCUCUGCACCAGCUAGGUGUCCUGGUAAGUUAAGUAACACUUCGCCUGCUCUCUGUUGCCCCUAAGCCUUUGUCUCGCAUCAAUCUUGGCAGAAUCCUCCUGUUCCUCUGUCUUCGGCUUUAGCCACCAUCAGGGCGUGUGUCCUGCUAUUUCCCCACUCGUUUUUGCCCUGUAAAGGAAAGACCAUGUAGCAGCUGGCACUCCUUCCCCACUCCAGGCCCGGUGUCCUGGGCUGUGGCACCUGAAGAUUCUGUCCCUGAGCCAGUCUGGACACAGCCAGGCGGCAGCACUGGCAUUUUGGGAUGUCAGUGCAUCAUCAUGGGCACUGUGUGUCCACGUGGGAUGCCAGGACCUGGUGCUGGGAUGUACAGGGAGUGAGUACUGCGGCUGCAUUUCUCUCCUGUUGGAGGGAGGUUCUCACCUCCAGCUUCUGAUGAUGUCAGUGGAGCGAGAAUGCCAACCCAGAGGGCCGUGACACUCCAGCCCUUUUUUUUUUUUUUUUUUUUUUGAGACAGGUUCUCGUUCUGUCACCCAGGCUGGAGUGCAGUGGUGCAAUCUCAGCUCACUGCAGCUUCGACCUACCAGGCCCAAGAGAUCUCUCACACUCCGAGUAGCUGGGACUACAGGCGCCAGCCACCACACCCAGCUAAUAUUUUUGUAUAUUUUUGUAGAGACGGGGUUUCACCAUGUUGCCCAGGCUGGUCUCCAACUCCCGACCUCAAGCGAUCCACCUGCCUCAGCCUCCCAAAGUGCUGGGGUUACAGGUGUGAGCCACUGCACCUGGCCUUGAUCUUCUAGCGAAAACUAGAGAGAGAGAGAGAGAGAGAGAGAGAGAGAGAGAAACGUUAAGAGGGAAAGAAAAGGCAGGAACCCCUAAGCCCACUCCCUCAGGAGAGGAAGGGAAGAGAGGAUGGGGAUCCAGCCAGACCCUUUUGUCAGGAAAACACUUGCUGGGUUCCUUACCUGGAGGGGUCUCUAGUGAGUCGGUUGAUGGCAGGAGGCUCCCUGGCAGCCAGACAGGGAGAAGAAUGCCAGCCUCUGCAGGCACCUUCGGCCACGUGGAGGAGCAGACCUAAGUGUGGCCAGGGAGGUUUCAAAGCCUCGAAAAUGCUGCAGACAAAGGAUGCAUGUCCUGUGCCAGACCCUGUUCUCUAAGCCAGGAGCAGGUACUGAUGGGGGGUCCCGGGCCAGGUGGACACACAGAGAAGAGGACUGAGGAGUGCAAAACCCCUCCCUUGCUCCCAGGGAGGCAUUUUGCCCAAGCCAGGGAAUGCAGAGGGCAAUGAGCCCACAACUGCCACAAUUUCUGGGACAAAGCUAUGAGGCAAGGUAUGCUCACAUCAAGAUUUGAACUCAGAUUGCUGCUGUUGCCUGUCCUCCGUGCCUUGACACAAACAGGGACGUUAUUGGGGCCUGGAGAAGAAUUAUGGGCCACAGGCUGCCCAGUCAGGAAAGAAAAGGGAGUCUAUAGCAGAGGAUGGUUUCGAUCCAUCGACCUCUGGGUUAUGGGCCCAGCACGCUUCCGCUGCGCCACUCUGCUGGCUAUAAGGGGGGAGCCUGAGUCAGAUCAUGACCACAGGAGUCAUCUCCCUGCAGGCGGCGACCCCUACUGGCCAAGAGGGGCCAACAGAGGACUGGCUGGGCAAGGCACAUGCUCAAUUAUA